rnacentral:rRNA from 1 species
UACGGGCAUAAGUAGAGGAUGGACUUAUGGCGCAUUAGCUAGUUGGGAGGGUAACGGGCCCACCAAGGCGACGAUGCGUAGCCGACCUGAGAGGGUGACCGGCCACACUGGGACUGAGACACGGCCCAGACUCCUACGGAGGCAGCAGUAGGGAAUUUUCGGCAAUGGGGGAAACCCUGACCGAGCAACGCCGCGUGAAGGAAGAAGUAAUUCGUUAUGUAAACUUCUGUCAUAGAGGAAGAACGGUGCGUGUAGGGAAUGACAUGCAAGUGACGGUACUCUAUAAGAAAGCCACGGCUAACUACGUGCCAGCAGCCGCGGUAAUACGUAGGUGGCGAGCGUUAUCCGGAAUUAUUGGGCGUAAAGAGGGAGCAGGCGGCACUAAGGGUCUGUGGUGAAAGAUCGAAGCUUAACUUCGGUAAGCCAUGGAAACCGUAGAGCUAGAGUGUGUGAGAGGAUCGUGGAAUUCCAUGUGUAGCGGUGAAAUGCGUAGAUAUAUGGAGGAACACCAGUGGCGAAGGCGACGAUCUGGCGCAUAACUGACGCUCAGUCCCGAAAGCGUGGGGAGCAAAUAGGAUUAGAUACCCUAGUAGUCCACGCCGUAAACGAUGAGUACUAAGUGUUGGGAGUCAAAUCUCAGUGCUGCAGUUAACGCAAUAAGUACUC